GCCUAACACAUGCAAGUCGAGCGGCAGCAUGCUUAGUAGCAAUACUAAGUGAUGGCGAGCGGCGGACGGGUGAGGAACACGUAGGAACCUGCCCAAGAGAGGGGGACAACCAAUGGAAACGUUGGCUAAUACCGCAUAAUCUCUUAGGAGAAAAGUUGCCCGUAAGGGUAGCGCUUUUGGAGGGGCCUGCGUCCGAUUAGCUAGUUGGUGAGGUAAUAGCUCACCAAGGCUGUGAUCGGUAACUGGUCUGAGAGGACGACCAGUCACACUGGGACUGAGACACGGCCCGGACUCCUACGGGAGGCAGCAGUGGGGAAUCUUGGACAAUGGGGGCAACCCUGAUCCAGCGAUGCCGCGUGGGUGAAGAAGGCCUUCGGGUUGUAAAGCCCUUUAGGCCGGGACGAAGGAUGUGGGACGAAUAAUCCUGCAUUUUGACGGUACCAGCAGAAUAAGCGCCGGCAAACUCUGUGCCAGCCGCCGCCGUAA
rnacentral:rRNA from 1 species